GGCCCGCUAGCUCAAUUGGCAGAGCAACUGACUCUUAAUCAGUAGGUUCUCGGUUCGAGUCCGAGGCGGGUCAC
rnacentral:tRNA from 1 species